UACGGGGGGGGCAAGCGUUGUUCGGAAUUACUGGGCGUAAAGGGUUUGUAGGUGGCUUGUUAAGUCAGACGUGAAAUCCCUCAGCUUAACUGGGGAACUGCGUCUGAGACUGGUGAGCUUGAGUGCAGGAGAGGAACGCGGAAUUCCUGGUGUAGCGGUGAAAUGCGCAGAUAUCAGGAGGAACACCGAUGGCGAAGGCAGGUCUCUGGGCAUUAACUGACGCUGAGGAGCGAAAGCAUGGGGAGCGAACAGG
rnacentral:rRNA from 1 species